AGAGCUGUUGUAUAGUUCGGGAUGAGUCAUUUGGUCUCCGUGCUUCUGUUCUUCAUCUGUAGCAUGGAAAAAAAUAGGACUUUGCCACCCCGCGGAAUUAAGAUAAAGAAACGUUAAAGACUGUGAGAUGCCUACUGCAAGAGAGUCAAAAACACCUCCAAAAAAAGCUAUUCCUGCACUCACUGUUCUUGCUUUUGGAUCACUUGAGGCAUCAGGAACAUAAAACAGUUUACAUUUACGCGCAGUUUAUAUUUAGCAGCGUUUCAAGUCUUAAAAAACACAAUCAUGGUUCUUGACCAAUAAAAAAGCCAAAACAUUUAGGCACAGAGAAAAACAGAUCACUAGAAGGUUGGGUCACUCACUCAUCAAGGAGCGGGUACAAAUACAGUUUUCGUUAGCUAGCGAGGUUAUUUCAAUAUCAGCGCAGAUGCAGGCUUUCCCAUAAACUAGGAGGUCAUGUGGACGAGGGGCACAGAAGAUGGCAAGUUCCAGUCUACCAAGCCCGCAGAUUCACACAAGUUUAGGGCUGGAAGGGACCUCAGAAGAUCAUCUGGGCAGGAAAGAUGGCUGGCCUCACACGUCACCCCAGUGCACCUUUGAUGACCAACGUGUCCGCGGUGCCUCCCAUCAGAAGAGCAGCAGGCUCAAGCCACCAGCGUCCAUCCUUCAAUCCUUCUGCCACUUUUCAAUCCUGCAACCUCUCAGGCAGCGCGGCAAACCCUCAGCUGCCCCGGAUAGGCGAAUUCCUUCCUUCCAGCCUAACCCGGGCAUACACCGAGCACCUUCGGCUGUCAUUGCAGUCACCGGGUAAGAGUGGUGAUUUGACAGGAAGCUUUGCAGCGCGAAGCCGCCUUCCAGCUCGCCCCUGGGCGCAUUUGCCCACUUCACACAACAAGGGUAUUGCACAGUGGGACUGGACCACAAAAAAGAGCUUGGUGCUGUAUACGAGACAGAGCAUCCCUUAUAUAUAUAUAUACACAGGACUACAUAUAUGGGAUGCUCUGGAAAACUAGAUGCAUUUUGAAAGCCCCUGGAUUGAAAUGUAAAGGUCGCCGGGACCCUCGACACCUUCCAGCGCCACACGGUCUUCCCCGAAAGCUCCCCUGGCCUUUGACACGGACCUCAGCAAAACCAUCUGCGAAGGCGCCGGCGGAGGGGGAGUGUUCAGCAGUGAAUUUCUCCGCCGGGAGGUAUUUGGACAGCUCCUCGCAACUUGUGCCAAAAGCCUUUCCAGCGGAGGAUGCCUGCCCGCCAUCGCUAGAGGCCAGUCCCCCCCUUGCAGCCCCAGUCUCCAUAGUAGCUGGGAGGAGGAGGAGGAGAUCCCACCGUUGCCCACCAUGGUUGUCCAAGGAAAACCUUCCAGCCUCUGCCUACCCUUGGUGUUUCAAGAGAGAACAAGGCAUUGAGGAAAUAAUUGCAGAAUGGCAUGCAUGGCACAUCUUCUGUUCUGACCUGAAUGAGUAGAAAAUCCUUUGCCUGGAAAGGAGCGAUUCCUUUUGCGUUCACCUGAUUCAACUGGGCUUCGUGCUGGGCUACUGUGCAUCUUCAAAGGAGCCUGCCUUGGUCCUGUGAUCUUUGAGUUUCCUUUUAGCCAACCUGGGCAUGCAGCUAAGGCCUGACUUAUACCAUGGGGUUUUGCUGGCUGAACUCUGGUGCACCUUCCUUCUCAUAGAGGCAGAACCCUGCCUCCCCGCUGAAAGAAGACUUCCGCCACCACACAACAGCUAGCAGAAGGCACAUGUAGACAAAAUUAGAUAUUUUGUCAGCAACUCGAAUCUCUUCUGAGCUAGCUUCCUGGGGCAUACUUUGCUCCUGCUGACUGGCACAACUCCGUAGGCAUGUCGAGCAGAAGCAGCCCAAUACAGACACAUUAUAAAUGACAGCAUAUUGUCCCUGACUUCACAGAACCCCCCUCCUACUGUCCUUGGGAUCUUGAUGGUCCACACUCCAGAGGACUUUGAGUCAUGCUUUGCUCCUCUCCUCUCAGUUCUUCCACUCAUCUAACCCUAACCACCUCCUCCCUGUCCUUUCUGUUACUGUGCUCCUAGCCUAUGCUUCUGGGGUGUCCAAAGGUCCUGAAGAUAUCAUUGCCCCAUAGCUAACUGCAUAAUGGUUUUUCUGGAUAGGUUUCCUCAUUCAGGGGGGCACUAGCAGGCUGCAGCGUGCAGAUAGAUCCUGCUAGGUUUGGCUCUACUGAAAGGACCCAAAAGCAGGACUAGCUUGAGUGCAGUGUGAUUCAGUUAUCUCCACAAGCCUCUGAUUCACAGCAGUAGAGAUUGGACUAGUCAGCACCUGGAAACAAAGCCUGAACACCCCACCCAGAGAGCUAGAGAAAGCCAGGGGAGGGAGAUUACUGGAUGCUUUGCUUAAUUUGAUCACUGCUUCUCUUCCACAUUCCCAGCCCUAUCCAGCUAGACAGCUACAGCCCUCCGGGGUCAUUUCAAGGCAAUUCCCAUCUGUGGUUGAGGAGGUUUUUAGCAGCAGGCAUUUCAAGGAGACAUUUUAUAAUCUUCCCAGUUGCUCUGCUUGUGAAGCUCUCCCCCACAAGCUGAGGGAAGAUGAAGCCAGAAGAACGGAUGAGCUUGACUGAGCAACAGAGCCAGGAACCCGGCUUUAGUGCAGGCUCUAAAAAUAAUUCUCCUUAGAGCAUGAUUUAUGCAGCACAGCGGAGCCGCUCUGCUCUCCCCGCUCUUGGCAGGCAAGUGAAGGCAUCAGCAGGCCAAAAGCUGCACCUCUGGGAGCUCUGGACUUGCAACAAAACCUCCCUUCCUACAGGUGUAGCUGCUGCCCUCUCCACCCCUGCUAGCUCAUGCGCAGCCAGGCCUCCCUGCAGACAUUUGCAACUCCCUUUCCCUUCCCCUUCUCAUUAUCCACCCUAGCCAAGGCACUUCCUCCUCCCCCCGGUAGUUUAUUAUUGGUUAGAAAUGUAGACGUCACCGAGACAACAACACACCGGCAAAGACAUGAACCUGGGAGGAAAAAAAAUCAAGAGGCUCUUUCUGCUUCCUCCCCCUGCCAAAUAUGCAGAGAUAAAUAAUAGAUCAGUGAAUUAUUCCAGCUUCUGUUUAACAGUGAACAUCUGGCAGCAGCUGGAGCUGGUGCUACAGCAUCAGGGAGUAUCAUGUUUAACCUGCAAAGUUGAAGCAACCUGCAGUUAUGUUUAAAGAUGCCAACAAAACAGUGAAAUGUCUAUAUCUAUUAGAGGGGGGUCCUUUGAUUUACAGAGAAGGAACAGACUAAGCCAGGGCUUGGUUUUGUGACCUUGGUGCCUGUUGCUGUUCACAUUGGCUUCACAGCGAGGGCUCCAAUAUGCUUGCUGGCAAGAGGAAUAUUAGAACCAUGCCCAAUUUUCCAGCAAACCAUGUUAAUGCUGUGGUUUAUGGUUUAGUGCUUCUAAAAUAGUAUGUGCUUCAUUUUUUUUUUCCUUGUUAACACACUACUUGCAUUGAGCUUCUAACAGUAAAACUAGAGUGGCUGAAAGGCCCAAGACCUGAUUCUGCAAUAAACAAAGUGCAAGUGUAACCCA
rnacentral:lncRNA from 1 species